rnacentral:misc_RNA from 1 species
UCCGGCUUGUCACCGGCAGUCUCCCUAGAGUCCCCAUCUUUACAUGCUGGUAACUAGGAAUAGGGGUUGCGCUCGUUACGGGACUUAACCCAACAUCUCACAACACGAGCUGACGACAGCCAUGCAGCACCUGUAUCAGAGUUCCUUUCGGCACCAAUGCAUCUCUGCAUCGUUCUCUGUAUGUCAAGGGUAGGUAAGGUUCUGCGCGUUGCAUCGAAUUAAACCACAUGCUCCACCGCUUGUGCGGGCCCCCGUCAAUUCCUUUGAGUUUUAAUCUUGCGACCGUACUCCCCAGGCGGUCAACUUAUCGCGUUAGCUGCGCUACUAAUCUUAUCUAUAAGAAUAACAGCUAGUUGACAUCGUUUACAGCGUGGACUAC